rnacentral:rRNA from 1 species
CUCGUGUUGUGAAAUGUUGGGUUAAGUCCCGCAACGAGCGCAACCCUUAUCCUUUGUUGCCAGCGGUCCGGCCGGGAACUCAAAGGAGACUGCCAGUGAUAAACUGGAGGAAGGUGGGGAUGACGUCAAGUCAUCAUGGCCCUUACGACCAGGGCUACACACGUGCUACAAUGGCGCAUACAAAGAGAAGCGACCUCGCGAGAGCAAGCGGACCUCAUAAAGUGCGUCGUAGUCCGGAUUGGAGUCUGCAACUCGACUCCAUGAAGUCGGAAUCGCUAGUAAUCGUGGAUCAGAAUGCCACGGUGAAUACGUUCCCGGGCCUUGUACACACCGCCCGUCACACCAUGGGAGUGGGUUGCAAAAGAAGUAGGUAGCUUAACCUUCGGGAGGGCGCUUACCACUUUGUGAUUCAUGACUGGGGUGAAGUCGUAACAAGGUAACCGUAGGGGAACCUGCGGCUGGAUCACCUC